AUAAGGCACUGGCCUCCUAAGCCAGGGAUUGUGGGUUCGAGUCCCAUCUGGGGUGAUUGCUUUUGCUUUUAAUAAAUACUUUUGCUUUUGAUGAAUAACUAUUACGAGAAUGAGGAAAAAUGUUUCAAGCAAUUAAAAUUACCAGCAUCCGAAAAACAGCGCUUCAUCGGCUCUUGAGAUAAAAUCAGCUGACAGACAUGGAGAAACAGAGCAUCAAACUGUGCGUAUUGCUGAGCACUUUGGCUGCAUCAGUGCAAACUUACCAGCUCCAAGAGGCCACUGUGUACUGGGAUGCUGCCCAGAAAAGUGUGAUCCUAAAGGAGGGGGUGAUGGAGACAGAGGGGGGAGCCUAUGGUUACUUCAAUGACACUCUGCUCCUCUCUGGAUGGGGCGUCUUGGAGAUCUGCGCAGGUCAUGGAGGAAUCACACAGGAAGAUGAGACCACCUUCUUCCUAGCUGGGUACCUGGAAGGUUAUCUCACUGCUGGACAGAUGUUCAGUCAUUACUCCAACAUGUACCCUCAACUCCUAAAGGAUGAGACGGUUUUGAAUCCCCUGAAAAGGUUUUUAAGCCAGCAGGACCAGUGGGCCAGAGAGCAGGUGAGACUGAGGAGAUACAGCGAGCCCUUGUGGCAGCAUCUGGGACUGAUCCUGGCCCAGAUGGACGGACUCCACGCUGGAGCUGCACAGUGGGCCAAAAGCAAACGCAGAGAGCCUCUCUCAGCAUUCGCCUUGCAGUUUCUGAAUGGUGUUGGCGACCUCCUGGACCUCGUCCCAGCUCUGACGCCCCGCUCCAACUCCUCCACAGGGGCCGGCACUUUCAGGAUGCCAGGAAUGGGCCACUGCACUGCUCUCAUCAAGGUGCUGCCAGGCUUUGAGAACCUGCUUUUUGGCCACUCUAGCUGGUAUACGUAUGCAGCCACCAUGCGUAUCUAUAAACACUGGGACUUCAGGGUGUCUGACACACACACCGCCACUGGAAAGAUGUCGUUCAGCAGUUACCCUGGCUUCCUGAUGUCUCUGGAUGACUUCUACCUGCUUGGCAGCGGCCUGCUGAUGACUCAGACCUCCAUCGGUGUCUUCAACGUCUCUCUGUUCUCCCAGCUGGAUCCUCACAGCCUGCUGGCCUGGCAGAGAGUCCGCCUGGCCAACAGCCUGGCGCACAGCGGAGAGGAGUGGGCGCACAUCUUCUCCAAAUACAACUCAGGUACAUAUAACAGCCAGUACAUGGUGGUGGACCUGAGCAGGGUUUCUCUGGGUCACAGUAUCACGGAUGGAGCUCUGACUGUGGUGGAGCAGAUUCCCGGGAAGGUGAUGCACUCUGAUCAGACUCGAGCUUUAUGCAAAGGUUAUUGGCCAUCCUACAACAUACCAUUUCAUGUUGAAAUCUACAACCUGAGUGGGUACGGUGUGAUGUGGAAGAGAUACGGACAGGACUUCUCUUACGACCUCUGUCCCCGAGCCAAAAUCCUCCGCAGGGACCAGGCCAAGGUGUCUGACCUUGGCUCCCUCAAAUUCAUCAUGAGAUACAACAGUAGACUACAAGAGAGACCCCUACUCCAAGGGCCAUCCAUGUAAAACCAUCUGUUGCCGUAACGACCUGAGACUAAGGAGACCACAUCCAGGAGGUUGCUAUGACACUAAGGUGACGGACUACAAGAUGGCUGUCCAGCUGGCCGCAGAGGCAAUAAACGGCCCCACGACGCAGGGCCUGCGUCCGUUCUCAUGGCAAUCCUUCAAUCUCACGACUCAUCAGGGUCUCCCACACACCUAUAAUUUUCCCUUCCUCACUAUGAGACCCACACUGCAUCGGCCCUGAGAGCACAGAGACAAAAAAAAAAAAUCCAUCUAGGUAGAACAGGUCAUACUUUCCUGUUCAAAUCAAGAACAAAUGUACUGAACACCUGAGUCCUGGUGUGAUUACUGGGCACAAUGUAGAAGCUUGGCAAAAUAUGAUAAAAAACAAAUCCCUUUAAUUUGGUCCUAUAAAUUAUAUAAUUGAAAUAUAAGUACAGUUUAAAUUCUUAGACAGUGCAUCAUCACAACUACGAAUAGGUUGUUAAAGGGUUAAAUACAGACACGGGACCAUUUUCCAUUGUCAAUAUGCAAUCCAUUUGAAUUUAGUGAAACUGUCAUUUAUUUUAAAGCUGAUGAAUGCCAGUCUGAGUUAGAAGGACACCGGCUUGAUUAUUUGUUAUAAAACUAUUUACUAAUCCAUUAAUACAUAAUGCUAAAAUGCAUUUUGAAAUCAAUUUUGCAGAUUUG